GGAGGACUGAGGAGUACAAGCGUGAUCAGGCUUCAGGAGGAAGAUCCUGCGCUCCUGGACCAGAGCCAGGGCCAUGUGGAAGGAUGAUAACACUACUUUUGUAGGAGAGACCCUUGAGCAGCCAGUUGUCGAGGUACAGAAGGAUGAGGAUCACUUCCUGCUGAAGAAUUGAGAGCCAAGCAGAAGUUGCACUUCUGGGAGAUGUGGGACUCCUCCAAGCAAUGGACAUGCUUAGAGUGGCUGUUGCUUACAGGAAUAGCCUCUUGGCAGGAGAGGCAGCAUUUGAAGCCAG